UACGUAGGGUGCGAGCGUUAAUCGGAAUUACUGGGCGUAAAGCGUGCGCAGGCGGUGAUGUAAGACAGGUGUGAAAUCCCCGGGCUUAACCUGGGAACUGCAUUUGUGACUGCAUCGCUGGAGUGCGGCAGAGGGGGAUGGAAUUCCACGUGUAGCAGUGAAAUGCGUAGAGAUGUGGAGGAACACCGAUGGCGAAGGCAGCCCCCUGGGCCAAUACUGACGCUCAUGCACGAAAGCGUGGGGAGCAAACAGG
rnacentral:rRNA from 1 species